GAUGAACGCUGGCGGCGUGCUUAACACAUGCAAGUCGAACGAAGCAUUUGCGACAGAUUUUUUCGGAAUGAAGUUGCUUAUGACUGAGUGGCGGACGGGUGAGUAACGCGUGGGUAACCUGCCUUGUACUGGGGGAUAGCAGCUGGAAACGGCUGGUAAUACCGCAUAAGCGCCCAAUGUGGCAUGACAUGUUGUGAAAAACUCCGGUGGUAUAAGAUGGACCCGCGUCUGAUUAGCUAGUUGGUGAGAUAACAGCCCACCAAGGCGACGAUCAGUAGCCGACCUGAGAGGGUGACCGGCCACAUUGGGACUGAGACACGGCCCAGACUCCUACGGGAGGCAGCAGUGGGGAAUAUUGCACAAUGGAGGAAACUCUGAUGCAGCGACGCCGCGUGAGUGAAGAAGUAAUUCGUUAUGUAAAGCUCUAUCAGCAGGGAAGAUAGUGACGGUACCUGACUAAGAAGCUCCGGCUAAAUACGUG
rnacentral:rRNA from 1 species